AUUGAACGCUGGCGGCAUGCUUUACACAUGCCAGUCGAACGGUAACAGGCCUUCGGGUGCUGACGAGUGGCGAACGGGUGAGUAAUGCAUCGGAACGUACCCAGAGGUGGGGGAUAACGCAGCGAAAGCUGUGCUAAUACCGCAUGUGAUCUGAGGAUGAAAGCGGGGGACCGCGCAGCAAUGUUUGGCCUCGCGCCUUUGGAGCGGCCGAUGUCGGAUUAGCUAGUUGGUGGGGUAAAGGCCUACCAAGGCGACGAUCCGUAGCUGGUCUGAGAGGACGACCAGCCACACUGGAACUGAGACACGGCCCAGACUCCUACGGGAGGCAGCAGUGGGGAAUUUUGGACAAUGGGCGCAAGCCUGAUCCAGCAAUGCCGCGUGCGGGAAGAAGGCCUUCGGGUUGUAAACCGCUUUUGGCAGGAACGAAACGGUGUCCGCUAAUACCGGGCGCUAAUGACGGUACCUGCAGAAUAAGCACCGGCUAACUACGUG
rnacentral:rRNA from 1 species